UACGUAGGGGGCUAGCGUUGUCCGGAUUUAUUGGGCGUAAAGAGCGUGUAGGCGGCCAGGUAGGUCUGGCGUGAAAACUCGAGGCUUAACCUUGAGAUGUCAUCGGAAACCAUUUGGCUAGAGUCCGGAAGAGGAAAGUGGAACUCCUGGUGUAGCGGUGAAAUGCGCAGAUAUCAGGAAGAACACCAAUGGCGAAAGCAGCUUUCUGGGACGGUACUGACGCUGAGGCGCGAAAGCGUGGGGAGCGAACAGG
rnacentral:rRNA from 1 species